rnacentral:misc_RNA from 1 species
GAUGAAGAACGCAGCGAAAUGCGAUAAGUAAUGUGAAUUGCAGAAUUCAGUGAAUCAUCGAAUCUUUGAACGCACAUUGCGCCCGCCAGUAUUCUGGCGGGCAUGCCUGUUCGAGCGUCAUUACAACCCUCAGGCCCCCGGGCCUGGCGUUGGGGAUCGACGGAGCCCCCCGUGGGCACACGCCGUCCCCCAAAUGCAGUGGCGGUCCCGCCGCAGCUUCCAUCGCGUAGUAGCUAACACCUCGCGACUGGAGAGCGGCGCGGCCACGCCGUAAAACACCCAACUCUUCUGAAGUUGACCUCGAAUCAGGUAGGAAUACCCGCUGAACUUAAGCAUAUCAAUAAGCGGAGGA